AUACUGCGCACCGUUCGUGGUGUCCGCGCAUGAGUCUUCAUGCCGGAUGAAACGGGAAGCCGGUGCGUGUUUUGCCUAUUCGCAACAACACAAUUCCGGCGCUGCCCCCGCAACGGUAAGGAAGUGCGGCUGCCUCACAACGCCACUGGAAAGAUCUCAAAAUAUUCCGGGAAGGCGAGGUAGCAAGACUUCCAAGCCCGGAGACCGGCCAUGGACAUCCGUAUCAG
rnacentral:ncRNA from 1 species